rnacentral:miRNA from 1 species
CCAAACCGUUCCAAUAGUCG